rnacentral:rRNA from 1 species
AAUGAACGUUGGCGGCGUGGAUUAGGCAUGCAAGUCGCGCGAUUUCCUUCGGGGAAGAGCGGCGGAAGGGAGAGUAACGCGUAGAUACCUACCCUCGGGACUGGAAUAGCGACGGGAAACUGUCGGUAAUGCCAGAUAACGUCCCUGGACCAAAGGUAUGAAUCCGCCUGAGGAGGGGUCUGCGUCCUAUUAGCUAGUUGGCGGGGUAACGGCCCACCAAGGCGAAGAUGGGUACCGGGCGUGAGAGCGUGACCCGGCUCACUGGGACUGAGACACUGCCCAGACACCUACGGGUGGCUGCAGUCGAGAAUCUUCGGCAAUGAGCGCAAGCUUGACCGAGCGACGCCGCGUGCGGGAUGAAGGCUUUCGGGUUGUAAACCGCUGUCAGUGGGGAGGAAAUUCUUGGGGGUACUCCCCCUUGAUUGACCGAUCCGCAGAGGAAGGACGGGCUAAGUUCGUGCCAGCCGCCGCGGUAAUAC